ensembl:lncRNA
CCCGUCACAGCCACCACAACAACACCCUCAGGGCCAGCGCUGUCUCAGCCUCCAGUUCAGACUCCCGUCACCUCUCAAGCACCGGCACCACCAGUCCAGCCCCCUCAACAGGCUAUCGCUCGUGUCCAGCCCCCCUCAACAGGCUAUCGCUCGUGUCGAGCCCCUCAACAGGCUAUCGCUCGUGUCGAGCCCCCUCAACAGGCUAUCGCUCCAGUCCAGCCUCCUCAACAGGCUAUCGCUCCAGUCCAGCCUCCUCAACAGGCUAUCACUCCAGUCCAGCCCCCUGCCCUCGUUCCUGCCCCCUCCAGUGUCCACAUAUCAGACUCAACCCC